UCAACUUUAUUCAGAGCUUUCGGUUCGGUCUCCAAUUAAUGAACGAAUCUCAGAGGAUAUUUGAAAUACCUGACCACUGAUGAAGGCUUGGAGACCGAGCCGAAAGCUCUGGAAUAAGUUGAUAA
rnacentral:pre_miRNA from 1 species